UACGUAGGGGGCAAGCGUUGUCCGGAUUUAUUGGGCGUAAAGAGCGUGUAGGCGGCCAGACAGGUCCGUUGUGAAAACUCGAGGCUCAACCUCGAGACGCCGAUGGAAACCGUCUGGCUAGAGUCCGGAAGAGGAGAGUGGAAUUCCUGGUGUAGCGGUGAAAUGCGCAGAUAUCAGGAAGAACACCCGUGGCGAAGGCGGCUCUCUGGGCCUUACCUGACGCUGAGGCGCGAAAGCUAGGGGAGCGAACAGG
rnacentral:rRNA from 1 species